UAGUGUUAUACACUAAUUUUCACUUUCACCUCAUUUACUCUGAAAGAACCGUCAAUCUUUGCACCGCCGAAACCACCACCGCGCCCACUGACGUACGCCCGUAUUCAUCGGCACACCAGCACACCGCCGCACCAACCGGAGCACCACUGCACUACUGUACCGUUGCGCCACCACUGACUAACUAGGAUGUGAAAUGUCAAAUUGAUCUCAAGAGGCUAAUUGAUCUUGAUCGAGCUGGUGCAUGACUUCUAGGAGAAUAUAUGGAAAAACUUGAGGAAUAUAAGAACAAAGGAAUUGAGAUAAACCCCGACAAAGUCUACUUGGAGGUUGUAGGUGGGCAAAAGAAAGGAAAAGUCUACGGUUUAGGGAGUGCUUCACAUAUGUAUUACAAGAGUGAUCCUACUUCUUAAUCUACUGCAUCAUCUUCCACUCCUUCCAUGAUUUCUCAAUUAAGUUCUCAAGUUGAAGAACUAAAGAAGAUGGCGGAAGAAAACCAUAACAAGGUAGAAGAAAGCCAAAAAAUAGCGGCAGAGAGCUUAAAAUGUGCUAAGGAAUUCGUCGAAAAUCAUGAGAUCGAAAAAGCUACAUGGAAGAAGGAAAAAUUAGCUAUGCAAAAAACAUUGCAGGAAAUGGCAUCACUUGUAAAACAAGUUUACCGUCCUUAUAAGCCUCCUACGCCUGCGGUCACCCGCUCUCGUGAUACAACUAAGUGAUUUUUAUUUUCUUAGUGGUAAUUUUAUGAACAACUGGUCUUUUACAUUCUCAUUAAUUCUUGUUUGAAGUAGCUUUUUUUAUAUGGGAGGUGACUUUUGGAACAAUUAGUCAUAUGAGUUAAAUAUUGUUUUUUAAUACAUUGAUACAAAAUUUGAUUGA